GAAAACUUGUAAACGGUCCAGAUCCCCACCCCUAAACCAUAUAUAUAUUCUUGUAGGGGACAAAAAAAAAAACAAAUCAAAUGAAAUAAAAGGGAAGUCCCUAGGGGGUCACCCCACCCCUCUUGUUUGAAAACUUGUAAACGGUCCAGAUCCCCACCCCCAAACCAUAUAUAUUCUUGUAUGGCACAAUGAAACAAAUCACAUGUAAUUAGAUGGAAGUUCCUGGGGGUCACCCCACCCCGUUCAAUUUGAGAAUGUUCUAUUAUCUUGUAAACAGUCCAGAUCCCCACCCCUAAACCAUAUAUAUUCUUGUAGGGGACAAUAAAACAAAUCAAAUGAAAUAAAUGGGAAGUCCCUAGGGGGUCACCCCACCCCCUCUUGUUUGAAAACUUGUAAACGGUCCAGAUCCCCACCCCUAAACCAUAUAUAUUCUUGUAUGGGACAAUAAAACAAAUCAAAUGAAAUAAAAGGGAAGACCCUAGGGGGUCACCCCAACCCCUCUUGUUUGAAAACUUGUAAACGGUCCAGAUCCCCACCCCUAAACCAUAUAUAUUCUUGUAUGGGACAAUGAAACAAAUCACAUGUAAUUAGAUGGAAGUUCCUGGGGGUCACCCCCACCCCGUUCAAGUUGAGAAUGUUCUAUUAUCUUGUAAACAGUCCAGAUCCCCACCCCUAAACCAU
rnacentral:lncRNA from 1 species